GAUGAACGCUAGCGGCAGGCUUAAUACAUGCAAGUCGAGGGGCAGCACGGUUAGCAAUAACUGGUGGCGACCGGCGCACGGGUGCGUAACACGUAUACAAUCUACCUUAAACAGGGGGAUAGCCUUUCGAAAGAGAGAUUAAUACCCCGUAAUAAAUUGAACGGCAUCGUUUGAUUUUGAAAGCUCCGGCGGUUUGAGAUGAGUAUGCGUCUGAUUAGCUAGUUGGUGAGGUAACGGCUCACCAAGGCGACGAUCAGUAGGGGAUCUGAGAGGACUAACCCCCACACUGGUACUGAGACACGGACCAGACUCCUACGGGAGGCAGCAGUAAGGAAUAUUGGUCAAAUGGAGGCAACUCUGAACCAGCCAUGCCGCGUGCAGGAUGACGGCCCUAUGGGUUGUAAACUGCUUUUAUACAAGAGAAAACCCUGGUACGUGUACCAGGUUGAUAGUAUUGUAAGAAUAAGCAUCGGCUAAACUUCGUGCCAGCAGCCGCGGUAAU
rnacentral:rRNA from 1 species